UCACCAAAAUAUUUAAUUUUACUAAAAUGGACCAAAGUAUAUAUUUUAAUACAAGAGAGGAGAAAAAUGUUAUUCAAACUUCUUUGAAAACACGGGAGUAUAUAAUUUACUAAAAUAAAUAUAAGUGUGACAAAUCAUAAGAGCAACAACAUAAUAAUUUGGUAAAUUACAGGUAUCAUCCGUGCGUAACUGCGGAAAUUAAAUUUUACUGCUUUAUACAUAAGUAUACAUUCACAAGCCACUAAUUUUGUGCAAUGUACUUGGGACCUUCUCAUAACAUCCACAAAUUCCAAAUCCCUCAGAUCCGGUCACAUGAAAUGGAAACCCACAGGCUGGAAUUUCACCACUAAUUUCACCACUAAUUUCAUCAAUACACGGAAGAUAUCGACAAUCAUCGUUAGUUCGGCACAUGAAGAACACUAUUAAGAAUUAAGGAACUUUAUCAAAAUGAGGGUGAAACAAUUUGAAUAAGAAAAUUUAAAGGUAAAAAAUAUUAGAAAUCCUUAUACAUAUAUGAAAGU
rnacentral:lncRNA from 1 species